GGUGCUCAGCCCAAAUUUUUAACCCAACAUUGUAGAUGGAAGGUGCUCAGCCCUAAUUUUCAACCCAACAUUGUAGAUGGAAGGUGCUCAGCCCUAAUUUUCAACCCAACAUUGUAGAUGGAAGGUGCUCAGCCCUAAUUGUCAACCCGACAUUGUAGAUGGAAGGUGCUCAGCCCUAAUUUUCAACCCAACAUUGUAGAUGGAAGGUGCUCAGCCCUAAUUUUCAACCCAACAUGGAAGGUGCUCAGCCCUAAUUUUCAACCCAACAUGGAAGGUGCUCAGCCCUAAUUUUCAACCCAACAUUGUAGAUGGAAGGUGCUCAGCCCUAAUUUUCAACCCAACAUUGUAGAUGGAAGGUGCUCAGCCCUAAUUUUCAACCCAACAUUGUAGAUGGAAGGUGCUCAGCCCUAAUUUUCAACCCAACAUUGUAGAUGGAAGGUGCUCAGCCCUAAUUUUCAACCCAACAUUGUAGAUGGAAGGUGCUCAGCCCUAAUUUUCAACCCAACAUUGUAGAUGGAAGGUGCUCAGCCCUAAUUUUCAACCCAACAUGGAAGGUGCUCAGCCCUAAUUUUCAACCCAACAUGGAAGGUGCUCAGCCCUAAUUUUCAACCCAACAUGGAAGGUGCUCAGCCCUAAUUUUCAACCCAACAUGGAAGGUGCUCAGCCCUAAUUUUCAACCCAACAUGGAAGGUGCUCAGCCCUAAUUUUCAACCCAACAUUGUAGAUGGAAGGUGCUCAGCCCUAAUUUUCAACCCAACAUUGUAGAUGGAAGGUGCUCAGCCCUAAUUUUCAACCCAACAUUGUAGAUGGAAGGUGCUCAGCCCUAAUUUUCAACCCAACAUUGUAGAUGGAAGGUGCUCAGCCCUAAUUUUCAACCCAACAUGGAAGGUGCUCAG